CGGAGCAGAAAAUUAAAUAUCAGCAGCAGACUGCUUUUAAAUUAUAGUUUCAAAGUGUACAUUAGCAGGUUGAUAAAAAGAGAAGUUAAAAAAUUAUCAGUACCUCACAUUACGGCUGCCACGAGACGAAGAACAACAUGAAACUUUCUGGCGGCUGAAAAGAUAAUGGAGUCCUGACUUGCUGCAAAGAGCGAGUGGGCUGACCUCUCACUCCGGUUUCGGUGUCCAAGGUCUGAGCUUCCCGCCACUUGCUUCAUGAGAACUGAUUGGACCUGUCAAUCAAAGCCUGGCAUUUAAGAGUCAGUCAGUGGCUGAGCAGCCUGAGGCGAGCCAGCCAGCCUCCGAGCAGCGAUGUCGACUGCUUGCUAGCGGGAGGUGACGUGACGGCGUUGGGUGAGGCGCUGGCAGAGGCGCUCUUACUGGGCGGCACUUCUUGGUAAUGGAUGGUGGCGCUGUUGUGCAGGUCAGCGCUGAUGAAGCACCGGCUGCCUCUGAUGUGGUCCACGCCGCGGACCGCCGGGUGUCCUCGGUACGGCAGCGGAAAGCACUGCUCGUCCUCCUCGCUGAUGCCGCUGAUGCCCUCGUUGCUGAGAUACCUGUGGACAUGUUUGGGUCCUGCAGCACAGCAUCACAAAGUCACUUUUAACUUCCAUAACAUCAAAUUAAAUGUAAUUAGUUACUUUAUAUCCAGUGUUUACCUUUCCUUCCUGCAGCACCACGCCGGCCGGACAAGUCCGAUACCCCUGAGAGCACCUCCACCGGCAUGGACACAGGUCGAGGUUUACCUGCACGCCCCCGCCCUCCCGCACACAGAGAACAUGCCCAUUAUUCAUGUUUGAACUUUAGCCCAGAGGAGUCAGGAUUAAAAGGAGAGAGCGCUCUCACCACGUGUACACGUGCGCUCUCGGAGGCGGACCGUAAUUGGCUGGUUCCCUUCUGCAGGGCCGGAGGAUGCCCCCUUGUCGCCACUAGCAACAGGCAAGUCUGCAUCCAGACACGAGUUAGGAGACCUGCGCCUCGUCUUCACGCCCUGACUCGCCUCUCUGAGGAAGAAAGUAGAGAUGCAUUCUUUGUAAGAGCCCGCAGACAAAGAUGAGAGAUGAAGGUGUCUUCUACUCACAGCGCUAAGUACGGGGCGGCAGGGUGAGUGGGGGUGUACAGAUCCAAGAUGGCCGUCUGGCCGCCGUUUGAAGAGGAGUCAGAAGUUUCUGGAUAUCUGGAGACACCUGCUGCUGCCUGAGUGGACACAAGUUACUGACAUUUGUAUUUUCAGAAUCACAAUGGCCUUUAUUCGUCACUUAUACUGUACAGAGGUACAAGCAAAACUGUGCCAUCUCCCGUCCAUACACAUACAACAUAACAUACAAUAAAAG